UUUCUCUUCAUGCUGGUGGCAUAAUUGUGUGCAAGCUUGUGCAAUUGUUUAUUUUCAUGCUUGAGUCCUUUAAUCUCAUCUUUGAGACUCUGUAUUUCAGCCACCAACGAUUCAACAUGACGGGUUCGGGCAAAUAGGCGUUGGGCCAUGUUGGAUACGGAACCGGCGCACUGCACGCUAAGUGCCAGAGACUCCUUAACCGCCAAUUCAUCAGACCGCCUAGCGAGCAGUCUGUUAUCUCUGGGGGUGACAAGAUUCCGGGCCACCACCG
rnacentral:lncRNA from 1 species